UUUUUCUCCUGCCUUCCCAGAGUCUCUCCUGAUUUCACGCGAGUCAGGACGACCACUCUCAUUACUUGCAAGUAAUUUGUCUGUGUUCAUUUUUCCUAUAAUAAAUUUGGUCUUACUCAUUCCAGACUCUUGGUAAUUUUUCUACGACACUUGUGGGGUACCACAAGGCUCAAUUCUUGGCCCUCUUCUUUUUACGUUGUAUUGCCUCCCUUUGGCACCAUUUUGCAUGAAUAUAAUAUUUCAUUUUGAUGUUGAUGACUGCCUGAUAUAUGCUCCCUUAAAAGACUAAGAGGAAGUUCUGCUGUGCCUUAGGGACAUUAAGGAGCAGCUGGACUCCUGAGUUUUAAUGAAAAGAAGCCUGAGGUCAUUUUGUUCGAACCCAGCAGUUCCUCGACGGCAUGUCUGAA